rnacentral:rRNA from 1 species
UAGGAAUCUUCCACAAUGGACGCAAGUCUGAUGGAGCAACGCCGCGUGAGUGAAGAAGGUUUUCGGAUCGUAAAGCUCUGUUGUUGGUGAAGAAGGAUAGAGGCAGUAACUGGUCUUUAUUUGACGGUAAUCAACCAGAAAGUCACGGCUAACUACGUGCCAGCAGCCGCGGUAAUACGUAGGUGGCAAGCGUUGUCCGGAUUUAUUGGGCGUAAAGCGAGCGCAGGCGGAAUGAUAAGUCUGAUGUGAAAGCCCACGGCUCAACCGUGGAACUGCAUCGGAAACUGUCAUUCUUGAGUGCAGAAGAGGAGAGUGGAAUUCCAUGUGUAGCGGUGGAAUGCGUAGAUAUAUGGAAGAACACCAGUGGCGAAGGCGGCUCUCUGGUCUGCAACUGACGCUGAGGCUCGAAAGCAUGGGUAGCGAACAGG